CUCUCUCUCUCUCUCUCUCUCUCUCUCUCUCUCUAUAUAUAUAUAUAUAUAUAUAUAUAUAUAUAAUAUGUGAGCUAUAUCGAGCUGAACACAAGCGAUCUAACUCUAGCUCAUGUUCUCGGCUCGUUAAGGUUUUGAGGUGAAAAAAUUAGUUCGUGUUCAGCUCGCUUAUUAAAUAAGCGAUCUAUCUCGACCUUAUUUUGAGCUGAACACGAGCUGGCUCGUGAACAAUGAGCUGAAUUGUGAGCCCUAGUUCGUGGUGACUUACAAAGUGUUUGAAGACAUGAUUAUAUUUUGGUUUCAUAUAUAAAACCAUUUAAUAUUUAGUUAUUUAAAAUUUAAGCUGUAAAAGUAGAUAUCAAUAAUAACUAAAUCAAUUCUUACAUUGCGCUUCUAUAUAAACGUCCGCAGCGUUGUGCAUCAAAUGGUAACUGAAUCUGGAUGUAAAAAUCUUGAUUAAAAAUACCUUUCGAAUACUAAAUCCAAGAUUUUAAUGUCGAUCAUGAGCCCAAGAUUGUCUUGUGUUUUAAAUUUGAGAUCAAACUGAUAUCAAAUGAAUCAAUUUGUAUUAAUAUUUAAUUUUAUGUAAAUAGAAGGACUAGUGUAAAAACUGCUCUUCCUAUGCUUGACAGAUGGGCCCUCAAUGGAGGCCUAUCUUAUCCUACAUGUUGACAUGGUUUGGGCCUCUCCUAUGUAAAAGGGGUUUAUUCCCUUUCAUUCUCUCUACCUCUCUCUUACCGUAGGACGAGAUAGGUUGGAGGAGAAAAAUAUUAUUUGCACCAAGUGUAGAAAACUUAUGCAACAAUAUAGGUGAGUUUGAUAUAUAUUUUAAUUUUCAUGAUCAUUAGGGCUCAUUUGGACUUGAUUCAUUCCAACAAGCUCAUUGGAUUUAUUGUUAUGUCUGUUGGACCAGACUGUAAUUUAAAAGAAUUGUUAGACAUAAAUGUAAAUGAAUUGGGCAAAAUUGCGGGAGAGUAGUAGGGAAUUUUCUCUCCUUUUUAUAAUUUCUGAUGUUUGAUUUUUUUCAGUUUUUAUAUACCAUAUAAAAUAAAAAUAUACUAAAAUAUAUUAAUAUAUAAAAUAUGGGUAAAAAUAUAUGUAAACUCCAUCAACUAAACGAUAUUAGCAAAUAACAUUAUUUUAUUAUUGACAAAAAUUAUACUAGUUUUCUUUAUUUGUUUCUUACAUAAAAUAAUAAUUGAAGUGAUAGGUUAAUAUAUAUCAUUAGGUCCAAAUCUGUAGGCUUAAAAAUCACCAUUACUGUUCUUUGCAGUGCGGUGUGACUGAUUUGGUGGUUCUUAUAAAAAUGAUAAAUUCAUGGAGAAAUCAUGAAAAUGCAAUAUGUCGAUUGGUGUACCCAGAAUAGUUAGGUCUCGGGGAGUAGACGCAUAGGCUCGAGUAAGUGGGCUCAUUGUGACCUUUAGAGUGCUUGAGAGCAUACAUAUAUUUUUUUUAAAAUAAUAUUUUUAAAUAUUAAAUAUUUAACGAUUAAGUUCUAAAAUUAAAUAUUAAUAAUAACUAAAUCAAUUGAUUCUUACAUUAUGUUUUUAUGUAAGUGUCUGCAGCACUGCGCAGGUUAUUGUCACUAGUUGACUAUGAUUAGUCAUAUAGUCCCUUAUUACUCUGUAAGACUGUAACAUGCAUCUUUUGUUCGAUAGUGUUCCUGUAAUUAUAGUACAUUUGUUAUCCCAAUGUUGGAUUGUAGUAGCAGGUCAAAGAGAGAUAUCCUGUGGUUAGAGGUCGUUGGUGCCUUGCUAGUUCUGUCUAUAGCUUUUGAGAUGUCUUGUUUAAGCAUAGCUUUUCAAAGAAGCCUUUGCAGGCUCUCUGAAAUUAAUACUCUUGGUGAAGCUAGAAAUAAAAUGUUCAAAUUGGAUCUUUUGUUUUGGAUCUUGAAGCGUCUUUUUUCCUCCUGUUCUGACCAAAAUUUUUAGACUUAUGUUGCUCGAAAUCCUAGCUUUUGCUUCUUAAAUAGUCGAGCUGUUCCAGAAAAUGGAUCAUACAGGCCCUUGAAGUUUAAUUGCUGUAGAUUAAGGAGAAGAGAUAAGUUACAAGUAGAUUCAAUGGAGAGAGAUAACUUACUGUUUUGAAGGAUUGUAGUGCUGAUCAUUUUUAUUUAUUUUCUGGUUGUGGUUCAUUUAGUUGACAACACCAUGAAAAGCUGAGGGCUAUACAUUGCUUAUGAUUCCUAGACAAGGUAAGAUUAGAUUAUCUGUCAGUUAGCAGAUUCUUAUGGUUGCUAGGCUUUUUUAGUUUUCUUUUUUCUGUGAUACAAAGUUAUGGGUGCUAACAUCAGCAUAGCUUCUUCCUUUGCAUUGGCAACAACCAUUAUAUGAAGUUAUUUGGUUUUGACAACAACUGGACGACUACUCGGCAAGUUCUAAAUUAUCUGUGGGGCCGUUCACUCCUGGGCAUAUCAACAAGUGUGAUUCAUUUUUUAGGUUGUUUGGGUACAUACUGUUUAGAGGAGAGAGCGGUGGUGGAUCAUCGGCCAUGGGGAAAUGAGGGGUGGCGGAGGAGGGAGUGGCGGAGCAAGGAGGCCGGCAAGAGGGGUCGACGGAGGUGGCGCUAAGUUUGAGGGGAAAAGGGAGAGAUAGAUAGCAGAUAAGGUUGCAGUUGGGGGGUUGAGGUUGUGUUAAGGCCCUAAAAAUGGAGAAAACUAUUUUCAGAGGUUUGAGUGGAUUUUAUUUUAGGUUAACUAUAUGUUUUAGGUGUUCUUUUGAAGUAUUCGAACAUUUUAUAGCAAAAUUUUCUCAAGAGUAUAGUUAUACUAUGUUCUAUGAUGCAUCCACAUGUUUGUAAAGAAUAGUUAGGUUCUGUUUGGAUGUAUCAUAAAAGAGAGUAUAGUAUAACUAUACUAUGCUCCCAGGAAAAGUUUUGCUAUGAGGUGUUUAGAUGCUUCAAAUAAAAGGCUUGAAGAAAAAAAAUAUAGUUAACAUGGGGGCUAAAAAUAGUGUAGUUAAAAUCCAAACCUUGAAAAAAAAAUUUCUUCUGGCCAUCGAGCCUUAGUCCCGCUCCCCUAUUUUUCUCUCCUUUCACUCCCCCUUCUCCCCCAAUCCCCCGAACCCACCCGCUCCUGCUCUCUGAUCCUCCCUACCACUUUGCACCUGCCGUCAUUUGUUAAUUUUUUUUAAUUAGUUAUUUGAUCUCUGUUUGUUAAUUUUUAGUUAGGAAUUUUUAUAAGUAAUGUUUUGAUUAGAAAUAAAUUAGUCUAAAUGUAGUUCAAUUUGAUUUAGUUUAGUUAGUUAUUUUGAUCUCUAAUUGCUUAGCAAAUAUAAUAUUUUUAUUAGUUAUUUUAUCAAAUUUGACAGCAUUACUUUCAAAUUUUGCACUUGGCAUCCAAUAGAGAUAAAAACAGAGUAUAGUAUUCCUGUAGGAUUCCAUGGAAUUCCUGAUUUAAUUAGCAAAACCGCAUAAAAUAAACUAGAGUUUUUUAAACAAGCUAUCCAAACGUGGCCUAAAUCUAUAUGGGUAUAUCAGAAUGUAAUCCAAGAUGACGUUGAUGAGUUAAUUUUGUAUAUCUGAUAGCUAUUAAGUAGAUUUGAUUUUGAACUUUCUGACAAAUUUUGAAAGCUAAUCUAUUAUGGUAAAGUAGCUGUCACGUGUACAAAACUGACUUAUCAAUUUUAUUUUGGAGUCACCUUUUAAAAUACUCUUAGCUUUACUUGUAAAAGUUUGUUUGGCUCUCCAUUAGUUAGCAGGACGUCGUCAUAUUCAAUUGUGUCUAAAUCCUUAGUUACUUUCUCCCCUUCCGUUUUUGUUCCCUUUGUUUUUGUUUUUUUGUUUUUUGUUUUUUGUUUUUUGUUUUUUUUUUCGUUCGUGCUUUUUGAAUUCCAAUCCAAUAUGUUGUAACCCAUACCUACUGUUGUCUUGAAAACUGUCCCAUCUCACCCUAUAAAUAAAUUCAAAAGAAUAUGUGAUGUUAUGUGCUUUCCUAUGUGCUCUAUAUCAAUACAUUACGUGUAGAAUAAUGGCAGGAACUUUCUGAUUCAUAGACUUCUUAAUUUAUGUAAUACUGACACGUUUAUGAAAAUUUGGCCGGCAAGAUUGCACUGUCCAGUUUUACAUUGUCAAUACUAAGCAAUUUAAAUUGUGUUACACUGUUGCACCAUUUAUUUUUCAUAUUUGAACGGAAUACAUAUUUCUGCACAUUCCUACUGCAAAAGUACUUGAUGCUACUGCAAAUUUUGGUUGAAGUACACUUCUGUGUUUUUUCCCUUAUUUUCACGCCGUGACAAGCUGGGGGUACCUUAGGAGCAGUUAACUCUCAUCUUAACUCUCAUCUUUUGUUAUCAUAAUAAACACUAUGUUUAUAGGCAGUUGUGCUCUCCACUUCUGGUGGGAAUAGAUACUGUUUAUCUUCUUUGUUGGGAUAAAGGGAAUGUAUGGCCGCAUAUCGGAGGCGGUACCUUUCCAUUUGAAUUCUCCUCUAUAUGGAAAGGAGGGACCCUCAACCAUCGUUUGUUUCUCCUUACACUUUAUAAGUUCGUUCUUCUUUGCUGUCUUUUUUGGGUUUUCAUUGUACUCUAAUUAUUACAUAUUUCAUCACCGAGCUUAAGUUGUUGUACCACUUUAGUCAUCUAUCAACUGAUUCUAUGUCAACUAAUGGAUAUUCUGAAGGAUGAAAAUGUGGCAAGAAUUUAUGCAUGCUUGUUGAAGGUGUGGUAAAAAACAGAUGAAAGUUGAGCAUGCCCAAAAAAUUCAGGCUUGUUAAGUGUAUUUUUAUCCCUAGCUAGUGUUCUUGGGAAUGUAAGUUCAAAAUGAUGUAGCAAUCUGCGUCUUUAGAUCUUUUGUUUUCUUAUCAUUAGCAUUAUUGUUCCUGGAGGAGGUCCGUUGAGGUAACAUUGGACUUCUUAUUUUUAUGGGGUCCUUAUGCAGCACUUUUCGCCAAUAUUAUUAUUCUUUUGUUGUU